UGGUGGCCGGUAUUACCGUCAGCGGCGGCGGCGAACGCAACAAAUCCACAGUGGAAACACUCAAUUCUAAACGAAAUAGCAAAAUAUACUUAAGGUGCUAAAAGAAAAAUCUCUUACGACGCAGAAUGGGCCAUUUGGCGAAUUAUGCAAAUUUGAGUACCCUCGUAUAAAAUAAUAAACAAAUUAUUUUUAUUAUAUGGAGGCGUAUUUCCUACAACAGGAUGAAUACAGUUAUCUUUAUUCGUAAUAAUAGCCUACGUAAAUCAUUGGUUGGUUAUAUUUUAAAUUCUUUAUCUAAAUCCAAAAAAUCAGAAAAAAAGAAAAGUUUAAAAGAAAUGAGAUGCACAUUUAGAUGUUUUAAAACCAGCAAUGAGGAAAAUCAUAACAAUAUGAAUAAAGCCGGAAACUAUGUAUGUAUUUCUUUACCAUAUCUAAUCCAACAGUUUAAUUAUCUUAAAUGUUUAAUUCUCCAUCGUCCAAAAAAACAAAACUCCAAAAAGAAUGUCCUGGUAAAAUUGUAUCUGAAGGGCAUCAAAUCUGAGUUUACUUUCAUGAGUGUUAUUAGUAUGCAAAUAGUGUAAGUGCUUUUAAUGAGCGAGACUCAUGAUAACGCAUUUGAAGGCCACUUCAUUGACUUUCUGUAAUUCAUGUCUAUUUAGGAUAGAAUAAAUGUAUUAUCUGUGGAUAAUAAACCGAUACCAUUUAAGUCAUCAUUUGAGGCAAAAACAACUUCAAAUGACACAUUCAAAUAUUCUGUGCAGGUUUUGUAUAUUUCACUCUCAAAUCACUGAGGAUUCACUGUCUAAUUUCUCCCGCAACGAAACCCUCCCUUUUUUAAUACUUCCCCACAUUUGGUAUCUUUCAUAAUUGUGGACACUCUCUGUGUCUGUUUAUUCAUUUAUUAUUCAGUACAGAAGGAUUGAUCAGAGUUGUACUGAACGCAGUCUUUCUCUUUUUGCAUCAGUGAUCUGCUUUUGCACACAACACAAAGGUGCUAUUAGGAUUAAUCUCUGAACAUUACCAGGAUUUGAACAAUGACUCACUGGUCUUUUCUCUCUUUAAUUUAGGACACAUAUUGUACCGACGACUCGGAUACACCGCUGAAUGGUUCCACCGGAGGACGCGUCCUUCCUGUUGUUCAUCGAACACGCAGUCUGUAUUGUACUACGUGAACCUCCUCACCCCUUCCUCCCCCUCCAACCCAAGCCGCCGUUGGUGUGUCUACUGUUUUGAAGUCAUCCGGAUGGACUCAUCCUUUAGCUGCCAGAAGAGGAAAGACAACAUGUUUAGAAAUGACUGCAGAGCGAAAACACCCACGACCAUAAGUGAGAAAUACAACGGACAUCACUCCGAGUUUCAGCCUGACGCUUGUCACCAGACGUCAUGACGAGACGGCAGAUGAGACGCAAAAAAAAAGGGAAACCAACUCCGAGAAGCUGCUCGACGACGAGCAGCGGCGCAGGAAAGAAGCCAGCAUACGCCAUGUCUCGUUUGAUGCUGCGGAUUUGUUGCCUCAUCCACCAGCACUUUGUUUGGGGAGUUGGGGAUUUGUGUUGGGGGAUUACAGCGGGCCACGAAGGCGGCUUCUGAAGCGCACGAUAACAGCAGCCGGGCCGCGCUGGCUGAAGAAAGAGGCCAACGGUUUGGGGGUCCCGAACGUGCAAAUCUGUGCGAGGCUUCAAGUUUGCGUCACGACGGGACGAUCGCUGCAGACAAGUGGACGCUCUGUUGCACUCCAGUUGAGUAACUGUUACAUUAACCAGCACACUGUUUCAUUUGUAUUCAGCAGAUGAAUCUCAUUUGUUGGACACCCCUUUCUUUAUUUAAAAGUAAUCAUCUGAACCCACUCGCUUCCUCUUUAAGUGUUAGUCAAUUUGAUCUUUUUUUUUUUUUUUAUAGGAAGUAAUUCCCUCCACUGAGUGGCCUCCCCCUAAUCCCAGUAGUGUACUCAGGUGCACACUCAAGCAGACGUAUUCAAGACAGCGGUCCAAAAAACAUAAGGGAGAAAACAAGAAAGCAAAAUACGAACAACUUCAACACGAGAAUGUACCUGAGUAAAUAAAUAAACCAUCAGAUUCUUUGGAGGCGUAA